CACUCCUACGGGAGGCAGCAGUGGGGAAUAUUGCACAAUGGGCGCAAGCUUGAUGCAGCCAUGCCGCGUGUAUGAAGAAGGCCUUCGGGUUGUAAAGUACUUUCAGCGGGGAGGAAGGCAAUACGGUUAAUAACCGUGUUGAUUGACGUUACCCGCAGAAGAAGCACCGGCUAACUCCGUGCCAGCAGCCGCGGUAAUACGGAGGGUGCAAGCGUUAAUCGGAAUUACUGGGCGUAAAGCGCACGCAGGCGGUCUGUCAAGUCGGAUGUGAAAUCCCCGGGCUCAACCUGGGAACUGCAUUCGAAACUGGCAGGCUUGAGUCUUGUAGAGGGGGGUAGAAUUCCAGGUGUAGCGGUGAAAUGCGUAGAGAUCUGGAGGAAUACCGGUGGCGAAGGCGGCCCCCUGGACAAAGACUGACGCUCAGGUGCGAAAGCGUGGGGAGCAAACAGGAUUAGAAACCCCUGUAGUCCCAUGAU
rnacentral:rRNA from 1 species